AUGCCUGAGCUAGUCAAUGUCAACCAAUCUGCAUUCAUAAAGGGCCGCAGUAUCCAUGAUAAUUUCCUUCUGGUCAGACAAAUGGCAAGACGGUUGCAUAAGAGGAAGGCAAAAGGGCUUAUGUUGAAGCUUGACAUAUCGAAGGCGUUUGAUUCGCUUUCCUGGCCGUUCCUCUUCGAAGUGCUGCGGGCCAAGGGGUUCUCGGACAGGUGGAUGUGCUCUAUCGUAACCCUUCUGUCUACUGCCAGCUCCCGGAUUGUGGUAAAUGGAUGUGCUGGGGGGAAAUUCAGGCAUGCUUGCGGACUAAGGCAGGGCGAAUCGCUCUCACCUCUGUUGUUCGUUAUUGCCAUGGAUGUUCUUACGGCGAUCAUCGUCAAGGCACAUGACUCGCAGAUCCUGGGGAAGUUAAAUGGGUGUGGACCUCUGCAGCGACUGUCACUUUAUGCAGAUGAUGUGGUCUUAUUCAUCAAGCCGACCUUAGCAGACCUGUCCUUUGUUGUUGAGGCAUUGAGGAUUUUUGGAGAAGCAUCCGGUCCCAAAGUAAACUUCACCAAGUCGUCUGCCAUACUCAUCAGGAGCAAUGAAGAGGACGAGGCCCUGGUCUGGAGCAUGGUGCCAUGGCAGAUCGCCAAGUUUCCGUGCAAAUACUUGGGUUUGCAGCUUAGUAUCAAACAACUG
rnacentral:rRNA from 1 species